rnacentral:rRNA from 1 species
AUUGAACGCUGGCGGCAUGCCUUACACAUGCAAGUCGAACGGCAGCACGGGAGUAAUCCUGGUGGCGAGUGGCGAACGGGUGAGUAAAGCAUCGGAACGUGCUCAGUCGUGGGGGAUAACGUAGCGAAAGCUACGCUAAUACCGCAUACGAUCUGUGGAUGAAAGCGGGGGACCGUAAGGCCUCGCGCGAUUGGAGCGGCCGAUGUCAGAUUAGGUAGUUGGUGAGGUAAAGGCUCACCAAGCCGACGAUCUGUAGCUGGUCUGAGAGGACGACCAGCCACACUGGGACUGAGACACGGCCCAGACUCCUACGGGAGGCAGCAGUGGGGAAUUUUGGACAAUGGGCGCAAGCCUGAUCCAGCAAUGCCGCGUGCAGGAUGAAGGCCUUCGGGUUGUAAACUGCUUUUGUACGGAGCGAAAAGGCUUCCACUAAUACUGGGGGCUCAUGACGGUACCGUAAGAAUAAGCACCGGCUAACUACGUG